UGGGGAAUUGUUCACAAUGGGCGCAAGCCUGAUGACGCAACGCCGCGUGGGGGAUGAAGGUCUUCGGAUUGUAAACCCCUGUCGAAUGGGACGAAAGACUCGCGAGUGAAUACUGCGCGAGAGUGACGGUACCGUUAAAGGAAGCCACGGCUAACUCUGUGCCAGUAGCCGCGGUAAUACAGAGGUGGCAAGCGUUGUUCGGAAUUACUGGGCGUAAAGGGCGCGUAGGCGGCCUUCUAAGUCAGACGUGAAAUCCCCCGGCUUAACCUGGGAACUGCGUCUGAUACUGGGAGGCUGGAGUAUGGGAGAGGGAUGUAGAAUUCCAGGUGUAGCGGUGAAAUGCGUAGAUAUCUGGAGGAAUACCGGUGGCGAAGGCGGCAUCCUGGACCAUAACUGACGCUGAGGCGCGAAAGCUAGGGGAGCAAACGG
rnacentral:rRNA from 1 species